ensembl:lncRNA
CCCUUACCAUGCAUUUGUUAUUAGCCAGAAAGCCAGCCCCUCUCUCCCCCUCUCCCUCUCCCGCUUUUCCCCUCUCUUCUUCUCUCCUGUUCCUGGGGUGAUACCUUAGGAACUGUGCAUGGGCAAAGCAAUCAGUGACAACAGUAGUUUCAGGUAAUAAUGACCUUUGUUCUUGGGGAAUGCAAAACUGAAAAACAUCUCAUGAUGAGGUAGGCGAUUUAAAUAAGAUGUGCACCAUCUGGUCACGGACACCCAGCUUUAAGAAGGUGCCUACCAAUCCAGGAUCACCCUCCUCCUGUAUAAACGGCAGAUAACAGCUUCCAGGGAAAGGGAAUGACAGAGAAGCAGCUGCCUCUGGAAAACUGGAUAAAGCAAGAGGACACUAUGUUGUGCGCUAGGCAGACUGAAUCUUUUGCUACCUAGGUACUCAGAAGCUGCUGCAACCAUGAUCCAAGAGGUCUUGGCUACUGCUUUUGAUGAGAGCAGACUAUGGUAUGGUGCACAUGAUUCGGAUUUUACUGGUAUGCAGAAUGCAAGAGUUGUGGGUCAAGAAGACUUCCACCUCAUUUUCCAAGGAAGGGCUCAGUAACCAUGGCAGUGAGUUAAACUGUAGCAAUGAAGGUGGAGGUGCUGUGAGACCCCGGGAAGUCAAAGAUGCCAGGAA